UACGGAGGGGGCUAGCGUUGUUCGGAAUUACUGGGCGUAAAGCGCACGUAGGCGGCUUUGUAAGUUAGAGGUGAAAAGCCCGGAGCUCAACUCCGGAACUGCCUUUAAGACUGCAUCGCUUGAACGUCGGAGAGGUAAGUGGAAUUCCGAGUGUAGAGGUGAAAUUCGUAAGAUAUUCGGAAGAACACCAGUGGCGAAGGCGACUUACUGGACGAACUGUUGACG
rnacentral:rRNA from 1 species